rnacentral:tRNA from 1 species
GUCGUCUUAGCUCAACUGGUAGAGCGCGUGGCUUUUAACCAUGUGAUCGUGGGUUCGAUUCCCACAAACAGUG